rfam:Paracoccus sp. 5503 Contig_7, whole genome shotgun sequence.
GCGGAUGGCUGGAUGACCGCGGGCGGGCCGACCUUCGGGGCGGGGCCGCGCGAGGAAAGUCCGGGCUCCAUGCAGGCACGGUGCCGGGUAACGCCCGGCGGGGGCAACCCCAGGGAAAGCGCCACAGAGAAGAGACCGCCGGCGGCCAGGCCCCUUCGGGGUACCAGCCGCAGGCAAGGGUGAAACGGUGGGGUAAAAGCCCACCGCGGGACGGGCAACCGGACCGGCACGGCAAGCCCCACCGGGAGCAAUGCCGAAUAGGGAUCGCGCGCGGGGGCAACCCCGCAGGGCCGCCUGCGCCCCGGCAGAUCCGGGUUGGCAGCUUGAGCCCGUCAGCAAUGGCGGGCCGAGAGGAAUGGUCAUCCAGAGGGGCGAAACCCCCUUGGACAGAACCCGGCUUACAGGCCGUCCGCGCGU